CCUACGGGAGGCAGCAGUGAGGAAUAUUGGUCAAUGGACGCAAGUCUGAACCAGCCAUGCCGCGUGCAGGAAGACGGCUCUAUGAGUUGUAAACUGCUUUUGUACGAGGGUAAACGCAGAUACGCGUAUCUGUCUGAAAGUAUCGUACGAAUAAGGAUCGGCUAACUCCGUGCCAGCAGCCGCGGUAAUACGGAGGAUUCAAGCGUUAUCCGGAUUUAUUGGGUUUAAAGGGUGCGUAGGCGGUCGGAUAAGUUAGAGGUGAAAUCCCGAGGCUCAACUUUGGAAUUGCCUCUGAUACUGGUCGGCUAGAGAGUAGUUGCGGUAGGCGGAAUGUAUGGUGUAGCGGUGAAAUGCUUAGAGAUCAUACAGAACACCGAUUGCGAAGGCAGCUUACCAAGCUACUUCUGACGUUGAGGCACGAAAGCGUGGGUAGCAAACAGGAUUAGAUACCCUAGUAGUC
rnacentral:rRNA from 1 species